ACGAACGCUGGCGGCAGGCUUAACACAUGCAAGUCGAGCGCCCCCGCAAGGGGAGCGGCAGACGGGUGAGUAACGCGUGGGAAUCUACCCUUUUCUACGGAAUAACGCAGGGAAACUUGUGCUAAUACCGUAUGUGUCCUUCGGGAGAAAGAUUUAUCGGGAAAGGAUGAGCCCGCGUUGGAUUAGCUAGUUGGUGGGGUAAAGGCCUACCAAGGCGACGAUCCAUAGCUGGUCUGAGAGGAUGAUCAGCCACAUUGGGACUGAGACACGGCCCAAACUCCUACGGGAGGCAGCAGUGGGGAAUAUUGGACAAUGGGCGCAAGCCUGAUCCAGCCAUGCCGCGUGAGUGAUGAAGGCCCUAGGGUUGUAAAGCUCUUUCACCGGAGAAGAUAAUGACGGUAUCCGGAGAAGAAGCCCCGGCUAACUUCGUGCCAGCAGCCGCGGUAAUACGAAGGGGGCUAGCGUUGUUCGGAAUUACUGGGCGUAAAGCGCACGUAGGCGGAUCGAUCAGUCAGGGGUGAAAUCCCAGGGCUCAACCCUGGAACUGCCUUUGAUACUGUCGAUCUGGAGUAUGGAAGAGGUGAGUGGAAUUCCGAGUGUAGAGGUGAAAUUCGUAGAUAUUCGGAGGAACACCAGUGGCGAAGGCGGCUCACUGGUCCAUUACUGACGCUGAGGUGCGAAAAGCGUGGGGAGCAAACAGGAUUAGAGAUACCCUGGUAGUCCACGCCGUAAACGAUGAAUGUUAGCCGUCGGGCAGUAUACUGUUCGGUGGCGCAGCUAACGCAUUAAACAUUCCGCCUGGGGAGUACGGGUCGCAAGAUUAAAACUCAAAGGAAUUGACGGGGGCCCGCACAAGCGGUUGGAGCAUGUGGUUUAAUUCGAAGCAACGCGCAGAACCUUACCAGCCCUUGACAUCCUGUGUUACCCGUAGAGAUAUGGGGUCCACUUCGGUGGCGGCAGAGACAGGUGCUGCAUGGCUGUCGUCAGCUCGUGUCGUGAGAUGUUGGGUUAAGUCCCGCAACGAGCGCAACCCUCGCCCUUAGUUGCCAGCAAUUUAGUUGGGCACUCUAAGGGGACUGCCGGUGAUAAGCCGAGAGGAAGGUGGGGAUGACGUCAAUGUUCCUCAUGGCCCUUACGGGCUGGGCUACACACGUGCUACAAUGGUGGUGACAGUGGGCAGCGAGCACGCGAGUGUGAGCUAAUCUCCAAAAGCCAUCUCAGUUCGGAUUGCACUCUGCAACUCGAGUGCAUGAAGUUGGAAUCGCUAGUAAUCGCGGAUCAGCAUGCCGCGGUGAAUACGUUUCCAGGGCCUUGUACACACCGCCCGUCACACCAUGGGAGUUGGUUUUACCGAAGGUAGUGCGCUAACCGCAAGGAGGCAGCUAACCACGGUAGGGUCAGCGACUGGGGUG
rnacentral:rRNA from 1 species